GACGAACGCUGGCGGCGUGCUUAACACAUGCAAGUCGAACGGAAAGGCCCUGCUUGCAGGGUACUCGCGUGGCGAACGGGUGAGUAACACGUGGGUGAUCUGCCCUGCACUUCGGGAUAUGCCUGGGAAACUGGGUCUAAUACCGGAUAGGAGCCAUUUUUAGUGUGAUGGUUGGAAAGUUUUUUUCGGUGUAGGAUGAGCUCGCGGCCUAUCAGCUUGUUGUUGGGGUAAUGGCCUACCAAGGCGGCGACGGGUAGCCGGCCUGAGAGGGUGGACGGCCAAAUUGGGACUGAGAUACGGCCCAGACUCCUACGGGAGGCAGCAGUGGGGAAUAUUGCACAAUGGGCGCAAGCCUGAUGCAGCGACGCCGCGUGGGGGAUGACGGCCUUCGGGUUGGAAACUCCUUUCGCUAGGGACGAAGCUUUUUGUGACGGUACCUAGAUAAGAAGCACCGGCUAACUACGUG
rnacentral:rRNA from 1 species